GACGAACGCUGGCGGCGUGCCUAAUACAUGCCAGUAGAACGCUGAAGCGAGGAGCUUACUCUUCUUGGAUGAGUUGCGAACGGGUGAGUAACGCGUAGGUAACCUGCCUUGUAGCGGGGGAUAACUAUUGGAAACGAUAGCUAAUACCGCAUAACAAUGGAUGACACAUGUCAUUUAUUUGAAAGGGGCAAUUGCUCCACUACAAGAUGGACCUGCGUUGUAUUAGCUAGUAGGUGAGGUAAUGGCUCACCUAGGCGACGAUACAUAGCCGACCUGAGAGGGUGAUCGGCCACACUGGGACUGAGACACGGCCCAUAGUCCUACGGGAGGCAGCAGUAGGGAAUCUUCGGCAAUGGGGGCAACCCUGACCGAGCAACGCCGCGUGAGUGAAGAAGGUUUUCGGAUCGUGAAGCUCUGUUGUAAGUCAAGAACGGGUGUGAGAGUGGAAAGUUCACACUGUGACGGUAGCUUACCAGAAAGGGACGGCUAACUACGUG
rnacentral:rRNA from 1 species